UGAUCAUGGCUCAGAUUGAACGCUGUCGGCAGGCCUAACACAUGCAAGUCGAACGGUAACAGGAAACAGCUUGCUGUUUCGCUGACGAGUGGCGGACGGGUGAGUAAUGUCUGGGAAACUGCCUGAUGGAGGGGGAUAACUACUGGAAACGGUAGCUAAUACCGCAUAACGUCGCAAGACCAAAGAGGGGGACCCUCGGGCCUCUUGCCAUCGGAUGUGCCCAGAUGGGAUUAGCUUGUUGGUGGGGUAACGGCUCACAAGGCGACGAUCCCUAGCUGGUCUGAGAGGAUGACCAGCCACACUGGAACUGAGACACGGUCCAGACUCCUACGGGAGGCAGCAGUGGGGAAUAUUGCACAAUGGGCGCAAGCCUGAUGCAGCCAUGCCGCGUGUAUGAAGAAGGCCUUCGGGUUGUAAAGUACUUUCAGCGGGGAGGAAGGGAGUAAAGUUAAUACCUUUGCUCAUUGACGUUACCCGCAGAAGAAGCACCGGCUAACUCCGUGCCAGCAGCCGCGGUAAUACGGAGGGUGCAAGCGUUAAUCGGAAUUACUGGGCGUAAAGCGCACGCAGGCGGUUUGUUAAGUCAGAUGUGAAAUCCCCGGGCUCAACCUGGGAACUGCAUCUGAUACUGGCAAGCUUGAGUCUCGUAGAGGGGGGUAGAAUUCCAGGUGUAGCGGUGAAAUGCGUAGAGAUCUGGAGGAAUACCGGUGGCGAAGGCGGCCCCCUGGACGAAGACUGACGCUCAGGUGCGAAAGCGUGGGGAGCAAACAGGAUUAGAUACCCUGGUAGUCCACGCCGUAAACGAUGUCGACUUGGAGGUUGUGCCCUUGAGGCGUGGCUUCCGGAGCUAACGCGUUAAGUCGACCGCCUGGGGAGUACGGCCGCAAGGUUAAAACUCAAAUGAAUUGACGGGGGCCCGCACAAGCGGUGGAGCAUGUGGUUUAAUUCGAUGCAACGCGAAGAACCUUACCUGGUCUUGACAUCCACGGAAGUUUUCAGAGAUGAGAAUGUGCCUUCGGGAACCGUGAGACAGGUGCUGCAUGGCUGUCGUCAGCUCGUGUUGUGAAAUGUUGGGUUAAGUCCCGCAACGAGCGCAACCCUUAUCCUUUGUUGCCAGCGGUCCGGCCGGGAACUCAAAGGAGACUGCCAGUGAUAAACUGGAGGAAGGUGGGGAUGACGUCAAGUCAUCAUGGCCCUUACGACCAGGGCUACACACGUGCUACAAUGGCGCAUACGAAGAGAAGCGACCUCGCGAGAGCAAGCGGACCUCAUAAAGUGCGUCGUAGUCCGGAUUGGAGUCUGCAACUCGACUCCAUGAAGUCGGAAUCGCUAGUAAUCGUGGAUCAGAAUGCCACGGUGAAUACGUUCCCGGGCCUUGUACACACCGCCCGUCACACCAUGGGAGUGGGUUGCAAAAGAAGUAGGUAGCUUAACCUUCGGGAGGGCGCUUACCACUUUGUGAUUCAUGACUGGGGUGAAGUCGUAACAAGGUAACCGUAGGGGAACCUGCGGUUG
rnacentral:rRNA from 1 species